UGGGUGGUGGUGCAUGGCCG
rnacentral:ncRNA from 2 species